rnacentral:rRNA from 1 species
GACGAACGCUGGCGGCGUGCUUAACACAUGCAAGUCGAACGGAAAGGCCCUUCGGGGUACUCGAGUGGCGAACGGGUGAGUAACACGUGGGUGAUCUGCCCUGCACUUUGGGAUAAGCCUGGGAAACUGGGUCAAUACCGAAUAGGACCACGCGCUUCAUGGUGUGUGGUGGAAAGCUUUUGCGGUGUGGGAUGGGCCCGCGGCCUAUCAGCUUGUUGGUGGGGUAAUGGCCUACCAAGGCGACGACGGGUAGCCGGCCUGAGAGGGUGACCGGCCACACUGGGACUGAGAUACGGCCCAGACUCCUACGGGAGGCAGCAGUGGGGAAUAUUGCACAAUGGGCGCAAGCCUGAUGCAGCGACGCCGCGUGAGGGAUGACGGCCUUCGGGUUGUAAACCUCUUUCACCAGGGACGAAGCGUAAGUGACGGUACCUGGAGAAGAAGCACCGGCCAACUACGUG